AUUGAACGCUGGCGGCAGGCUUAACACAUGCAAGUCGAGCGAGCGGCGGACGGGUGAGUAAUGUCUGGGAAAGUGCCUGAUGGAGGGGGAUAACUACUGGAAACGGUAGCUAAUACCGCAUACCAUCAGAUCGGCCCAGAUGGGAUUAGCUAGUAGGUGGGGUAAUGGCUCACCAAGGCGACGAUCCCUAGCUGGUCUGAGAGGAUGACCAGCCACACUGGAACUGAGACACGGCCCAGACUCCUACGGGAGGCAGCAGUGGGGAAUAUUGCACAAUGGGCGAAAGCCUGAUGCAGCCAUGCCGCGUGUAUGAAGAAGGCCUUCGGGUUGUAAAGUACUUUCAGCGGGGAGGCGUUACCUGCAGAAGAAGCACCGGCUAACUCCGUGCCAGCAGCCGCGGUAAUAC
rnacentral:rRNA from 1 species